UAUAUAUAUAUAUAUUCACACUAUGAUAAUAAAUAAAAUAUUAUAUAUUCAUUUGCGGUGGAAUCGUCCACCAGCGCAAGGACAAUUUGCCGGAAUUCUUCAUUCUAGCGAAAAUUCCAUACGAUGUGUAAAUGGAAAGAUUGUCGAUCAAAUAAUGAACAUUUUCAAUAUUCGUUUACAUGGCAUUCUAUUUACUAAUGAAGCAUGAACGAUAAGAUGAUAGUUUAUUAAUUACUUUUUAUUCAUUUUAUCAUUUCAUUGGUUACAAAAAAGUUCAUUAUGAAAGUAAUAAUCUUCAUAUAUGAAAUAUAAGCAGAAUUUCGGCCCUUCGUCUUAUAUUUUUCAGGUAGUUUGCAUCCCCACCAACGAAAGCUUGGCAUUGCAUAUGUUUACAUGUCGUUGGCAAUAUUCGUAUUAAUCUUGGUUGCAUGUCAGACGAUCCAUAUCACGUGGUCACAGGGAAACACGAUUACUGUAUUUUCAAUUUCGAAAUGACUAUAAAUGACUUGUAUUCAAUCACAUUUGAUAUUUGCCGAAAACGUGGCCGAUGAAUAUAUGUUGUGAGAAAACAUCAAAGAACGGUGCAUUUCAUGCAAUUGGAUUCUGCAACAUUUCCAAAAAUAUAAGUGUAAUAAUAAUUAACAAUUAUUCAAUGAGAAUAACAGCAAACUUCGGG